rnacentral:rRNA from 1 species
UACGAAGGGGCUAGCGUUGCUCGGAAUCACUGGGCGUAAAGGGUGCGUAGGCGGGUCUUUAAGUCAGGGUGAAAUCCUGGAGCUCAACUCCAGAACUGCCUUUGAUACUGAAGAUCUUGAGUUCGGGAGAGGUGAGUGGAACUGCGAGUGUAGAGGUGAAAUUCGUAGAUAUUCGCAAGAACACCAGUGGCGAAGGCGGCUCACUGGCCCGAUACUGACGCUGAGGCACGAAAGCGUGGGGAGCAACAGG